rnacentral:tRNA from 1 species
GCGCCCGUAGCUCAGUUGGAUAGAGUGUCGGCCUCCGAAGCCGAAGGUCAGAGGUUCGAAUCCUCUCGGGCGCGCCA